UGACCAAAGGGAGGGCUGCUUACAGG
rnacentral:piRNA from 1 species